rnacentral:sRNA from 1 species
UCAGCACAACAAAUCAGGAGCUGCGGCAGCUCUUCUACCAGUGGAAGUGCAAGAAGUUCCGGGAUCAGCUGUCCCCGAAGCAGGUAGAGAUCCUGAGGGAAAAGCUCUGUGCCAGUGAACUGUUCAAGGGCAAGAAGGCUUCAUAUCCCCAGAGUGUCCCCAUUCCAUUCUGUGGUGACUACAUUGGGCUGCAAGGGAACCCCAAGCUGCAGAAGCUGAAAGGCGGGGAGGAAGGGCCUGUUCUGAUGGCAGAGGCCGUGAAGAAGGUCAAUCGUGGCAAUGGCAAGACUUCUUCUCGGAUUCUCCUCCUGACCAAGGGCCAUGUGAUUCUCACAGACACCAAGAAGUCCCAGGCCAAAAUUGUCAUUGGGCUAGACAAUGUGGCUGGGGUGUCAGUCACCAGCCUCAAGGAUGGGCUCUUUAGCUUGCAUCUGAGUGAGGUAUCAGAGCUGGGUGGGGCAGGCCUUGGACUGGAGAAGGUGGUAUGCAUCCCAGGGCUGGGGCAGGCU